CCUGUUUAUCAAAAACAUGUCUGUUUGAAGAUAUAAAAAGUCUAGCCUGCCCACUGAUAAUAGUGUUUUAAAGGGCCGCGGUAAUUUGACCGUGCAAAGGUAGCAUAAUCGUUAGUUUUUUAAUUGGAAUCUUGUAUGAAUGGUUUGACAAAAGAAAAUCUGUCUCUAUCUUUUUCUUUGAAUUUAACUUUUAAGUGAAAAGGCUUAAAUAGUUUAAAAAGACGAUAAGACCCUAUAAAGCUUUAUAAAUUGUUUGUUAUUAAGCUGAAUUGGUAAAUAAUAGUUUAGUAAGGGAAGUUUAUUUUAUUGGGGCGAUAGUGGUAAAAUGUUUAUUAACUGUUAAAAUUUUAAGACAAAUAUAGUUGAGUAAAGUUGUAUAAAUUGAUCCUGAAAUACAGAUUAAAAGUUUAAGUUACUUUAGGGAUAACAGCGUUAUUUUUUUUGAGAGUUCAUAUCGAAAAAAAAGUUUGCGACCUCGAUGUUGAAUUAAAAUGUCUGUACAAUUGCAGAAGUUGUAUUAGAAGGUCUGUUCGACCUUUAAAUUUUUACGUGAUCUGAGUUCAGACCGGACAUCG
rnacentral:rRNA from 1 species